UACGUAGGCAGCGAGCGUUGUUCGGAGUUACUGGGCGUAAAGGGUGUGUAGGCGGUUCUUUAAGUUUGGUGUGAAAUCUCCCGGCUCAACCGGGAGGGUGCGCCGAAAACUGGAAGGCUUGAGUAUGGGAGAGGUAAGCGGAAUUCCUGGUGUAGCGGUGAAAUGCGUAGAUAUCAGGAGGAACACCUGCGGUGUAGACGGCUUACUGGACCAUAACUGACGCUGAGGCACGAAAGCGUGGGUAGCAAACAGG
rnacentral:rRNA from 1 species